rnacentral:rRNA from 1 species
GGACGAACGCUGGCGGCGUGUUUAACACAUGCAAGUCUAACGAGCAGGCUACGGUCUUUGGUGGCGGACGGGUGAGUAAAGCAUAAGUGACCUACCCAGAAGAGGGGGAUAACCCUUUGAAAGAAGGGGUAAUACCGCAUAGAACAGGGAACUGGAAAGGAUUGGGACCUUCGGGCCAAUUGCUUUUGGCGGGGCUUAUGUCUCAUUAGCUAGUUGGUAGAGGUAACGGCCUACCAAGGCGAAGAUGAGUAGCUGUUCUGAGAGGAUGAUCAGCCACACUGGAACUGAGACACGGUCCAGACUCCUACGGGAGGCAGCAGUGGGGAAUUUUGCGCAAUGGGCGGAAGCCUGACGCAGCACCGCCGCGUGGGUGAAGAAGGCUUUUGGGUUGUAAAGCCCUUUCGAGUUGGAACAUGGGGAUUAUUCAGAAUGAGGAUAAUCCUUGAGGGUACAACAGGAAGAAGCACCGGCUAACUUCGUGCCAGCAGCCGCGGUGAUACGAGGGGUGCAAGCGUUGUUCG